UACGAAGGGGGUGAGCGUUGUUCGGAAUUACUGGGCGUAAAGGGCGCGCAGGCGGCUCAGACAGUCAGAUGUGAAAGCCCCGGGCUUAACCUGGGAACUGCAUUUGAUACUACUGAGCUUGAGUACGGGAGAGGAUAGUGGAAUUCCCAGUGUAGAGGUGAAAUUCGUAGAUAUUGGGAAGAACACCGGUGGCGAAGGCGACUAACUGGACAGGUAUUGACGCUGAGGUGCGAAAGGCGUGGGGAGCAAACAGG
rnacentral:rRNA from 1 species